GUGGGGAAUCUUAGACAAUGGGGGAAACCCUGAUCUAGCCAUGCCGCGUGAGCGAUGAAGGCCUUAGGGUUGUAAAGCUCUUUCAGCUGGGAAGAUAAUGACUGUACCAGCAGAAGAAGCCCCGGCUAACUCCGUGCCAGCAGCCGCGGUAAUACGGAGGGGGCUAGCGUUGUUCGGAAUUACUGGGCGUAAAGCGCACGUAGGCGGACCGGAAAGUCAGAGGUGAAAUCCCAGGGCUCAACCUUGGAACUGCCUUUGAAACUCCUGGUCUUGAGGUCGAGAGAGGUGAGUGGAAUUCCGAGUGUAGAGGUGAAAUUCGUAGAUAUUCGGAGGAACACCAGUGGCGAAGGCGGCUCACUGGCUCGAUACUGACGCUGAGGUGCGAAAGCGUGGGGAGCAAACAGGAUUAGAUACCCUAGUAGUCC
rnacentral:rRNA from 1 species